rnacentral:rRNA from 1 species
GACGAACGCUGGCGGCGUGCUUAACACAUGCAAGUCGAACGGAAAGGCCCUGCUUGCAGGGUACUCGAGGGGCGAACGGGUGAGUAACACGUGGGAGAUCUGCCCUGCACUUCGGGAUAAGCCUGGGAAACUGGGUCAAAUACCGGAUAGGAGCCAUUUUUAGUGUGAUGGUUGGAAAGUUUUUUCGGUGUAGGAUGAGCUCGCGGCCUAUCAGCUCGUUGGUGGGGUAAUGGCCUACCAAGGCGGCGACGGGUAGCCGGCCUGCGAGGGUGGACGGCCACAUUGGGACUUGGGUACGGCCCAGACUCCUCCGUGGGGCAGCAGUGGGGAAUAUUGCACAGUGUGCGCAGGGCGUGUGCAACGCCGCCGCGUCGGGGGUGACGGCCUUCGUUUUGUAUACUCCUUUCGCUAUGGUCAAAGCUUUUUUUGACGGUACCUAGAUAAGAAGCACCGGCUAACUACGUG